ensembl:snRNA U6 U6 spliceosomal RNA
GUGCUUACUUCAGCAGCAUGUAUACUAAAAUUGGAGGGAUAUAGAGAUUAACAUGGCCCUUUGUGCAAGGAUGACACACAAAUUCACGAAGCAUUCCAUAUUAGA